AGUGAACGCUGGCGGUAGGCCUAACACAUGCAAGUCGAACGGCAGCACAGUAAGAGCUUGCUCUUACGGGUGGCGAGUGGCGGACGGGUGAGGAAUACAUCGGAAUCUACUUUUUCGUGGGGGAUAACGUAGGGAAACUUACGCUAAUACCGCAUACGACCUACGGGUGAAAGCAGGGGAUCUUCGGACCUUGCGCGAUUGAAUGAGCCGAUGUCGGAUUAGCUAGUUGGCGGGGUAAAGGCCCACCAAGGCGACGAUCCGUAGCUGGUCUGAGAGGAUGAUCAGCCACACUGGAACUGAGACACGGUCCAGACUCCUACGGGAGGCAGCAGUGGGGAAUAUUGGACAAUGGGCGCAAGCCUGAUCCAGCCAUGCCGCGUGAGUGAAGAAGGCCUUCGGGUUGUAAAGCCCUUUUGUUAGGAAAGAAAAGCAGCAGGUUAAUACCCCGCUGUUCUGACGGUACCCAAAGAGUAAGCACCGGCUAACUUCGUG
rnacentral:rRNA from 1 species